rnacentral:rRNA from 1 species
AGCGAACGCUGGCGGCAUGCUUAACACAUGCAAGUCGAGCGGGCACUUCUGUGUCAGCGGCAUACGGGUGAUUAACACGUGGGAACGUACCCUUUGUUUCGGAAUAACGCGGGGAAACUAGCGCUAAUACCGGAUACGCCCUUUUGGGGAAAGGCUUUCUGCCGAAGGAUGGGCCCGCGUCUGAUUGGCUAUUUGGUUGGGUAAUGGCCUACCAAGGCCACGGUCAGUAGCUGGUCUGGGAGGAUGAUCAGCCACACUGGGACUGAGACACGGACCAGACCCCUACGGGAAGCAGCAGGGGGGACUAUUGGACGAUGGGCGAAAGACUGAUCCAGCCAUGCCGCGUGAGUGAUGAAGGCCUUAGGGUUGUAAAGCUCUCUUGCCCGGGACGAUCAUGACGGUACCGGAAGAAUAAGCCACGGCUAACUACGUG